GUGCUUUGGAGAGUGAGCCUUUGUGACUCUGCACUCUUGGACAGUAGCAUCCAGCAAUAUAGGAUACUUUGAGGAGGGAAAGGAAAAGAGGCAGCCUCCUAGAAAUGCCCAAAAGCCCAGAAAAAUAAAGCAUAAAGCUGCACUGUUUGGAAGAAGCAAGACAGUCUUUCCUCACAGCUACGAUGCUGCACCGCUUUCAACAGAACCUGCUUUUUCCUCCAUUUACCUGGGCGACUGCUGCUCUUUCUGCUGCUGCUGGGGCUGCCUGCGCUUCACCCUGGCUUGGCUGACUUGAAACUCUCUCAUCUGCACAUUGCUAAGGAAGAAGAGCAAUGGAGCCACGGAUUUUUUUUUUUAUUGGUUCUGAAAGCCAAGGGUUGCAAUAUGUGAUGAUUUUGGGGUUUUCUGUGGCGGGGUGGAGGGAAGAGGAAGGAACGGUGUUAAUGUAGGAUAGAGUGGGUGAAAGCUUAAAGAAAUAUUAUGUAAAGUAAUCCAGUGCUUGACAAGGGCAUCAGCAACAAGAAUCCAGCCUCUGCUGCUCCAGAGAAUUAACAUGGGGAAGUCACAGUGCUGCAGUCGGGUUUCACCUCAGUGUUGUGCUGGAGAUGGAUAAAUAAGGUAUCGGUUGCAUCUGCCUGUUAAGGCAAAGCCAAGGGAGAAGGAAAGAGCGAGUGAAUGCAAAUGCAAAGGAAGAAGAAAUGCUCUGUGCCGUUUGAUUCUGUGGCUUCUCACUGCAGAGAGGAUGGCUUGAUUAACAAAGCAAUGUAUGGACGGAGGGACUGUAAAUUGUAGCUUGAGCAUUCCUGGUGCUGCCAGGGAGUGAACUGAUGAGUUAGGUGGCUGCAGGAAUAUCCCUAGGGAAAACAGCAGCCUCGCACUCUGUGUGUCUAUAUCUGUGUAUGUAUGUGCUUUUGUGUGUGUGUGUGUGUGAACACAUAUAGAAAUGAAAGAAAGAUAUUUCUGACCACUUUAUAGAGGACGUUUGUCAGUUUGCUGGGUCAGACUUGAUUGCAGCUUGUAUUUUCAGCUCUAGCUCUACACCCAUUUCCUGACUGAGGUGGCACUUUGUGAAAACAGAUGGUAGGCAGUAUUCUUUUAAGAAAUGUGAAAGCAGAUCCUUUCUGCUUAACACCUUGAAGCACUGAGUCUUCUGCACUGUGCUGAAAGAAACUGUGGAGUUUCAUUUUCUCCACCUUAAAAUCUCUGUAAACACAGCUGUAUUCAGUAUGGUGAAAAAUUCUAUACUGUAAAUAGAAAUGUGAUCAAUCUAAUCAAAAUAAAUGCAUCCCAGAUGACUUCUAGACCAGCUGGCUACCACAGUCAUCAGAUGGCUAAAUCCUCAACUGAGCAUUUGUAUUCAGUGUUAUACUUGCAUCUUUUUAAUUUUCUCUUUUUUUUUUUUUUCUUAGAUUUUCAAAAUCAGCCUCUAAUUGAAAAGGAUUCUUCAUAUAUUGAGAAAAGGCAAUGCUUUCUGUGAAAUAUACGUGGGUGUAUUUUUACUGUGGAAUCUGCUUGGAGUGAUUUUAGAGUAGGCAGACUUGUCACAGUACAGGCACAUUUCAUUUGGUAGGUAGCUCAGCCUGGCCAUAUCUGAACAAUGCAGAAACAGGGAAAACAAGCACUGCACUCAGCUAGCAGGGCUUGGCAUGGAUUCUAGCAGCUGCCUAUCAAGAAAGACAAGGUUUUUUCCUUACCAUUUUUUCCCUUUUAUACAAAGCCAUAGGCCAUAAUGUCAUACUAAAAUGUGUAUGAGGGGAUUUCCCAAUAGUCAUGGUGAGCUACCCUGCAAGACGCUCGUCUAGUCCUUCCACUAUUUGUUCCCCAGCCUACAAAGGCAGCCUUGUGUGUUGAAUUGUAUUUAGCCAGCUGUUGGAUAGCAUUCUUGUGCUGGGGGCUAAGGAAUCUUAUUACUCCCAAACUGUAGUUUUCUGUUUGCUUAAAGAAAAACAACUUUGGCAAUACAGCAGGCUCUGCAAAGAAGUUUAUGCCACUCCUAUACCUUUCUGAAUCUGUUGUGUGCUUCUAAUUCAGGCACUUUAAAGCAAGCAAGGAGGGAGGAGGAGAGACUCUGAAUUUACAGCUUCAAAGCUGCAAAGACGAGCAAAAUGUCAGCAGCUUGUAAUUAGGAGCCCAUGGUUACGUCAGUGACUGGAUCUCUCCAGGAAUUGCUAUGAGAUGUGUGCCACAAAGCAAAGGAAGACUCUCAUAACCUGGUUAACAAGCCUGGCUCAAACAAGAAAGAGCAAAUGGAUUAAUGAAUCUGCUGUGUUCCUAACUCAGAUGUGGAUGGAUUACACGCAUAAGAUUUGCUGAAUUCUGCAGCAGUGAAGACUGAAUUAUGGCAUGCAUUCACCAAAAGUACAUAUCCUUCAGGAAAAAAUGCAGAGGAGCAGUCUAUCCUUGAAAAUUUCUUUCGUUGCUCUGUCCUGUACAGGCAGCUGCAUGACAUGGAGGCAUGCUCUGGAGGAGGUGUUUAAAGGUGUUUAAAAGGAAGAUGCAAUUAGAUACAAAGCAAGCCUGCUGAAAUUCUGUUCUGGCAUUACAGAUUUGAUACUGAAAUACCACCCCAGAGGAGACCGGCUGGGCUCUGGUGUGGUUUAUAUUAAGCGUUCUCUGGUUUAGAGUGAGGGGGGAGGGAGAGGGCUUCCUGCAGCAUCUUGCAGCCAUACAGAAGUCCCCAGGGCUGUGGGAAGCAGGAGGGCUGGGUGUGCUCUUAAAGACACAUGCCCAGAUCCUGCCAAGGUGCUUUAUGACCUCUGUAAUUAUUUUUAGGUCUGUGAAGGCAACUCGGCAGUGCUUAAGCAGUGAGAUUGCAGGGGGUGUUUAAUCUGCUGCGACUGGCCUUUCUCUGUGUCAUGGCUGGGAGAGGUUUAUAGAGCUUUUAUCAAUACCCCUCCACCAGAUCCAGUGUGCAUGUCUGUCACUGUUCCCAAAGACCAGUUACUGGACUUCUGGUGUGGUUCCCUGCUCCCAGCAGAAGUCACUUGCAGUUCAGAUCUGUUGUAGUUUUGCAGUUGCUCUUUAAUUUACCAGGAUAGGUAGAUUGUAUUUUACAAACAGUGGGGGUGGGUGGUUUUUGGUUUGGUUUUGGUUUGGUCUUUUUGUUUUUUGUUUUUUGUUUUUUUUGACUGUGAGCGCAAAUUUGUAGGAGGAGGUGACUCUGUAUAUUAAACCAAUAGCUCUUUGAAUUGUGUGUAGUAUAAUUUAAAUAUACUUACUUUAAUUAAUAGAAGGUUACAAAAGCUGGCAUUGUCUGGGGCUGUUUAAUUUACAUCUUAGGUUUAGUCAAUGAGCAUAACCUGCCUGAUUACAAUAGUGUAUUCUGCACAGCCAACAGGGUGGAAGGCAUUAUUUUGUUUGUCUUAGUUCAAACAGCUGGUCAUUAAUGCAGGCCCCAUCUCCAGAGUGAAGUGCUAGUGGACAUGAAUGGCUGCCUGAUUAAUGCUGCCCCUCGAUGGGUCCUUCAUCCAGCAGCGAUGCUUGCAGCAGAAUAAUGCAGCGGGAUUUGAUUGCGCUCUAACAGGGUAGUAUGUCAUUGUGUCACCAAGCGAUCGAGGUUAUUAUGGGGUAGGGCAGACAGACGGGACAGUGGGGUUACUAGACCGUGGCAUUUUUAGAAAUGCAGGGCUGACCUACUUAGAGUUAUUCUUGCUGGCUGGCAGCUGCCUGGUGCGGGGCUCCCCCGGAUAGGCUGCGGCUGUUGCUAGGGGGAAUUAGCAUGAAUUUUUCCACAUACAGACUCAGUGAUUGAAUGAUAAAAGCUGACUGGAAUUAAAGAGAUUCGGUUCAGUAUUAUGCAGAUUUAUCUCCCUCUUUUUUUUUUUUUUUCUCUCUGUCAAAUGCAUAAAAAGGAGCAGAAAACAGUUUGUUUCCAUUUAUUUUUGACCUAUUUUUUUUUUUUUCCAGAGGAGGGCAGAAGUGUUGUGAGGUCAUAAUUUAAUACUUAGGCCAUUGAAAUGAUAUGAUAGUGGGCAUGCAUCUUUAAUGUAUGGAAGAUUAAAAUGCUGCCUCUCUGGAAGGGAAUGAAAUGAAUAUAUUUUGUGUUCUGGUCAGGCUGCCACCUCUUUUUAUUUGAAGCCAUGUCAGAUUCUUUUAUCUGGAAAGGGGAAACAUAUACCAGGUUUUAUUGCAUAACAAUUACUCUUAGCUAUUUUUAGCUAUCUCUACUUCAAAAAAUUAGUCCUAUUUAUGCUAGUGGAUGAAAUUAAUCCCCAGGCUAUGCCUUAUGUAUGUGGAGACAGAUGCCCAGGGCAGCUGCAGUGUUGUGCAUCGUGUUCAUAUGAGAAGGUGUUUACAUACUGCAGGCUUAUCAGCACUGCAUACCUAGCAGAGUGCUGAUGCCUGACAUGUAAUCAGAUCAAUUAAAGAACUCUUCUGGAUUUCAGAGUACUUUUCAGGCCCUGGUUUGAAGCUGGAAUCUCUAGACGGCCGUCUUUUAUUUAUCUACAUCUGCCUAAAACAGUGCUAUCUUUUCAGAGAACUCUGUGCUCCCUUAGGAAGCAAAUAAAAACAAUACUCAGUGAAGAAUCCUUUGAUGUAAUCAUGAAUAUUUCCUUUGUUAUUAUCACUAAUUAUAGAAGAUCUUUGUUUAAA